GACGAACGCUGGCGGCGUGCUUAACACAUGCAAGUCGAGCGAGAGCCAGCUGAGGGGUAACCCUCGGCUGGGGACAGCGGCGAACGGGUGCGUAACACGUGGGCAACCUGCCCCUGACACUGGGAUAACCCCGGGAAACCGGAGCUAAUACCGGAUACUCUCGGCCGAUCACAUGGCUGGCCGAGGAAAGGUCCGCCGGUCAGGGAUGGGCCCGCGGCCUAUCAGCUUGUUGGUGAGGUAACGGCCCACCAAGGCGACGACGGGUAGCUGGUCUGAGAGGACGACCAGCCACACUGGAACUGAGAUACGGUCCAGACUCCUACGGGAGGCAGCAGUGGGGAAUAUUGCACAAUGGGCGAAAGCCUGAUGCAGCAACGCCGCGUGAGGGAUGAAGGCCUUCGGGUCGUAAACCUCUUUCGGCAGGGACGAAGCGAUCAGUGACGGUACCUGCAGAAGAAGCCCCGGCUAACUACGUGCCAGCAGCCGCGGUAAGACGUAGGGGGCGAGCGUUGUCCGGAUUCAUUGGGCGUAAAGCGCGCGUAGGCGGCUGCGCAAGUCGGUUGUGAAAACCCGGGGCUCAACCCCGGAACUGCAUCCGAUACUGCGUGGCUAGAGGUAGGUAGGGGAGAUCGGAAUUCCUGGUGUAGCGGUGAAAUGCGCAGAUAUCAGGAGGAACACCGGUGGCGAAGGCGGAUCUCUGGGCCUUACCUGACGCUCAGGCGCGAAAGCUAGGGGAGCGAACAGGAUUAGAUACCCUGGUAGUCCUAGCCGUAAACGUUGGGUGCUAGGUGUGGGCGGAUAUCGACCCCGUCCGUGCCGAAGCUAACGCAUUAAGCACCCCGCCUGGGGAGUACGGCCGCAAGGCUAAAACUCAAAGGAAUUGACGGGGGCCCGCACAAGCGGCGGAGCAUGUGGCUUAAUUCGAUGCAACGCGAAAAACCUUACCCACCUUUGACAUGUACGGAAUUUUCCAGAGAUGGAUUAGUGCUCGAAAGAGAGCCGUAACACAGGUGCUGCAUGGCUGUCGUCAGCUCGUGUCGUGAGAUGUUGGGUUAAGUCCCGCAACGAGCGCAACCCUUGUCAUUAGUUGCUACAUUUAGUUGGGCACUCUAAUGAGACUGCCGGUGACAAACCGGAGGAAGGUGGGGAUGACGUCAAGUCCUCAUGGCCCUUAUAGGUGGGGCUACACACGUCAUACAAUGGCCGGUACAAAGGGCUGCCAACCCGCGAGGGGGAGCUAAUCCCAUAAAACCGGUCGUAGUCCGGAUCGCAGUCUGCAACUCGACUGCGUGAAGUCGGAAUCGCUAGUAAUCGUGGAUCAGAAUGUCACGGUGAAUACGUUCCCGGGUCUUGUACACACCGCCCGUCACACCAUGGGAGCGGGUUCUGCCAGAAGUAGUUAGCCUAACCGCAAGGAGGGCGAUUACCACGGCAGGGUUCGUGACUGGGGUG
rnacentral:rRNA from 1 species